rnacentral:lncRNA from 1 species
CACCUCCAAAUUCAUCUCUGACUCUGCUUCUAUCAGUACGUCUCUUCUCACACAACUCUCCUGAUUCCCUGUUAUAAAGACCCUUGUGAUUAUAUUGUCCCACCUGGAAAAUCCAAGCACUCAAGCACUCUCCUUAUCUCAGAUCCUCAAUUAAGUGUAUCAGCAAAGUCCCUUUUGCAUGCUCACUCACACAUUCUGAGGUGAGGAUAUGGACAUCUUUGGAAAGCCAUUAUUCUGCUUAACACAGCUGGAAGUAACAAAUAUAUUUCUAAUAAAACAUGUACAUUUCUUGCAUAGUUGUAAGGACAAUAAAAUUUUUCUAAUUAUUAAACAGUGACAUUGCAGUUUCUCCUCUUAAAUCAUGCUUCCUUGAAGCUUCAUGGAGAUUUUGUUUGUUUGUUUUUGUUUUUGGCUUCAUGAGUAGAUAGGACUUCUUUAGUAUGACAAAUUGGCUGGGAGAGAAAAAGAGGUUCUAGAAGAAGACCGUAUUAGCGCAAAGAAAAAAAAGCAAAAACAAUAUAUUUGGGGACUCCUCUAAUACAAUGCUCAUUGUACCCUCCCCCCAGCACACAAUUUUUAUUUUAUCUUUAUUUAUAUCAAUCUAUGGAUCAAUUGAUCCAUUUUCUACCUGUACACUUAAUUUUCAAAAUGAUUUUGGUAUUUCCUUGAUAUUCUAUUUAAGUUUCUAAAUGGACAAAGGCUUGCUUAUGUUUUAUUAGAGCCUAAAUAAUGUGUGGCAAGCUUAUUUCAUAUUGUUGAGCACAAUUUUAGAGAUCUAAAACCUGGCAUCACAGUCUGUAAACUAAAAGAAAUGUAAUAAAUUAUUCUAAUAUUCUCUAAGCCAAAUAUCCAAAUUUAUCCUUUCAAUGUAUCUUGUCCUUUCCACAGCUAACUUAUCAAGUGCCUGAAAAGUGCCUACAAGUGGCAAAUGCUAUCACAGGGUUGUUGAUGUAGUGGCACAGACAAUAAUAAUGACAAAAUAGACACCAGCAUCUCUCCUUAUGGAGCUUACAUUCCAGUAGGGUUGCUGGACAACCAGUCAAUCAAUCAAGCUUAAAUAAGUAAAAUCUAUCAUAACUGUAAGUGGUAAAGGAGAGUGGAAAAAAGCAGAGAAAAGGGUAUAGGGUAGAUGGAUUCCAAGGAAAACUGCAAUUUUUUUUUAAAUUGAAGUACAGUUGUUUACAAUAUUGUAUUAGUUUCAAGUGUAUGGCAAAGUGAUUCAGUUAUAUAUCUUCAGAUUUUUUCCCCUUAUAUAUUAUUACAACAUAUUGAGUAUAGUUCCCUAUGCUAUAGAGUAUGUCAUUGUCAGUUAUCUAUCUGUAUUAUAUAUAGUAAUAUGUAUAUGUUAAUCUCAAACUCCUAAUGUAUCCCACCUCUCUUUCCCCUUUGGUAACCAUUAGUUUGCUCUGCUUUCUAUGUCUGUGUGUCUUUUUCUGUUUCAUAUACAUAAUUGUGUCAUUUUUUCUUUUAGAUUCCACCUAUAAGCGAUAUCAUAUGAUAUUUGCCUUUGUCUGGCUUUCUGAACUUAGUAUGAUAAUCUUACAGCCAUGUUGCUGUAAAUGGCAUUACUCAUUCUUUUUUAUGGCUGAGUAAUUUAUCUACUAUUUAUUUAUUUAAAUUUUACUGAGGUAUAGUUGGUUUAUAAUGUCAUGUUAAUUUCUGCUUUACAGAAAAGUGAUUCAGUUACAUGCAUACACAUAACCAUUCUCAUAUAUGUUAUUAGGAAUAUUGAUUAAUAAUUAUAUUUAUUUAUUUUAAAUUACUUAAUGAAUUUUAUUACAUUUAUAGGUGUACAACAAUCAUCACAACCAAAUUUUAUAGCAUGUCCAUCCCAAACUCUCAGUGCAUCCUCCCACUCCCUAACCUGUCUCAUUUGGAAACCAUAAGUUUUUCAAAGUCUGUGAGUCAGUAUCUGCUCUGCAAAGACGUUCAUUCUGUCCUUUUUUUAGAUUCCACAUGUAAGUCAUAGCAUUUGAUGUUGGUGUCUCAUAGGUCCAUCCAUGUUGCUGCAAAUUCCAUUAUUUCUUUCCUUUUAAUGGCUGAGUAAUGUUCCAUUGUGUAUAUGUACCACAUCGUCUUUAUCCACUCCUCUGUUGAUGGACACAUAGGUUGUUUCCAUGUCUUGGUGAUUGCAAAUAGUGCUGCAAUGAAUAUUGGAGUACAUGUGUCUUUUUGAGUCAUGGUUUUCUCUGGAUAGAUGCCCAGGAGUGGGAUUGCUGGAUCAAAUGGUAGUUCUAUGUUUAGUUUUCUGUGGAAUCUCCAUACUGUUUUCUACAGUGAUUGUACCAAUUUACAUUCCCACCAACAGUGUAAUAGGGUUCCUUUUUCUCCACACCCUCUCCAGCAUUAUUGUUCAUAGAUUUUUUUGAUGAUGGCCAUUCUGUCUGGUGUAAGGUGAUACCUCAUAGUGGUUUUGAUUUGCAUUUCUCUAAUAAUGAGUGAUGCUGAAUAUCUUUACAUGUGUUUUUUGGCCAUCCAUAUGUCUUCUUUGGAUAAUUGUCUGUUUAGAUCUUCUACCCAUUUUUUGAUGGGGUUGUUUGUUUUCUCAGUAUUGAGCUGUAAGAGGUGUUUAUAAAUUUGGAGAUUAAUCCCUUGCCAGUUGAUUCAUUUGCAAAGAUUUUCUCCCAUUCUGUGGGUUGUCUUUUCAUUUUGUUUAGGGUUUCCUUUGCUGUGCAGAAACUUUUAAGUUUAAUUAAGUCCCAUUUGUUUAUUUUUGUUUUUAUUGUCAUUACUCUAAGAGGUAGAUCUGAGAAGAUGUUGCUGUUGUUUAUGUCAGAGAGUGUUUGGCCUAUAUUUCCCUCUAAGAGUUUUAUAGUAUCUGGUGCUAUAUUUAGGUCUUUCUUUAAUCCAUUUUGAGUUUAUUUUUAUGUAUGGUGUUAGGGAGUGUUCUAAUUUCAUUCUUUUCCAUGUGGCUGACCAGUUUUCCUAGCACCACUUAUUGAACAGGCUGUAUUUUCUCCAUUGUAUAUCCUUGCCUCCUUUGUCAUAGAUUAGUUGACUGUAGGUGUGUGGGUUUAAUUCUGGGCUUUCUAUCCUGUUCCACUGAUGUAUAUUUUUGUCUUUGUGCUAGUACCAUAUGGUUUUGAUGAUUGUUGCUUUGUAGUAUAGUCUGAAGUCCAGGAGCCUGAUUCCUCCAGCUCCAUUUUUCUUUUCCAGGAUGGCUUUGGCUAUUCUGGGUCUUUUGUGCUUCCAAACAAUUUAAAAUAUUUUGUUUGAGUUCUGUGAAAAAUGUCCUUGGUAAUUUGAUAGGGAUUGCACUGAAUUUGUAGAUUGCCUUGGGUAGUAUAGUCAUUUUGGUAAUAUUGACUCUUCCAAUCCUAGAGCAUGUUAUGUCUUUCCAUCUAUUUGUGUCAUCUUUGAUUUCUUUCAUCAGUGUCUUACAGUUUUCAGAGUACAGGCCUUUUGUCUCUUUAGGUAGGUUUACUCCUAGGUAUUUUAUUCUUUUGGAUGUGAUGGUAAAUGAGAUUGCUUCUAUAAUUUCUCUUUCUGAUUUUUCAUUGUUAGUAUAUAGAAAUGCAGUCGAUUUCUGUGUACUUUUUAUCCUGCAACUUUGACUAGUAAUUUUAAAUAGGUUUUCAUGUAAGGCCUUGCUGAGAAGGUAACAUUUGAGCAAAGAAAAAGGAAGUGAGGGAUCAAAUUUUGAUUUGAAUUUCCGAAUAAUGAGUCCUAGGAGGAGCAAUUGCAAAGUAUCAAUGCAAGGAAUGACACUUAUUCCUUGAGAACAUUCAUUCCAUCUUUCAACCAAAUUUGUAAGAUGGCCCAGUCUUAAACACUGGGAACACAUAGGUGGACAGAACAAAUCCCUUUCCUUCAUGGGGCUUACAUUCUCAAUGGACCAUAACUUUCAAAUUAAUUCAUUCUACUCUAUCUACCAUCUUUUGGAAAUUAGGGAAAGUUAUGCUCUUAAAAUUUCAUAAUACUUAUGAAAGAAUAGCUUGAUAAUCUUAAAAGAGUUUAGCUUUUAGAGAUUACUUCGCUAAAACAUAUAGCAAACUGAGCAUGAUUUUUAUAGGAAUAAGUUUGGCUGUACAAUGAUCACAUGGAAAUCCUGGUUUAGUAUUCUUAUUGUUAGUUUGAAUUUUGGUUCCCUGGUAUCCAGGCCUUAAAUGUGUUCCUAAAUUAGAACCAGAUAACAUUCAGAACAAAACUGAUUUUAUGAAGAUGACUUCCUAGUGUCUAACACCUCAUAAAUGCAGUCAGUUUAUUCAAAUGUUACAGUUUCCAGAGUAACGCAUGCUGCACAAAUAAAAUAAAUCAUGGAUUUAGGGAGAAGCUAAAGUGUUGUCAACUGGGCUAUAAAUGUUUCAACAUAAUAAACAGUACAGUGAAAUAGAAAUGGCUCCACAGUUGAAGAUUUCAGUUUGUGACGGAGGAAAAAAAGAUCUGACUUAGGUAGAGAGGAAAACAGAGCACUGCAUUCCAUUUCAACAAUGGAGAUGGUCUAAAAGAAAUAGCAUAUAUUAGGGUUGUCAGUGUGGCAGAUGGUUGGGCUGUAUAUAAUAAAGUCAAAAGUUAUUUUGACAAGAAAGAGGAUGGAUCUGACAGUUCACAAAUCAGAAUCCUAGGCAGCACAGACGAGGAAAUGUAACUGAAUAUGUGCUAAGCUGAUGCAUAGUUAAUUUCUCAGAGCCAAAGGAAACUGAGUAUGGGAGACGGACAGGAGUGUUAGCCGGUUUGAUAAAAGAAAGAGGAAGCGUAGAUAUAAAACAAAUAAAAAGAGAAAGAAGGCAACAUUCUAUCAUAUGUACAAGUGUUUUAUUUUUAAUAAAAUAUUUGAAAAAAACAAACUGAACCUUGCAAUACUGAAUGUAUUCAACAUUUUGAACAACAGAGUAGGGGCUGGAUUUAAAUACUGAUAGAGUUUACCUAAAAAUAUAGCACCUCUUAAUUUAAAACUGAAUUUUCUCAUAUGCAGGAAGAGAAUGAAAAUUUCAUUAACAUUUUUUUUCCAAAAUAAUCCCAGGGAGUAAAGUCACUCCAAUAGUAUUAAUUGCUCUUUUUGACCAGGUAUUUAAAAUUAGUCUUUCUCUGUUACAUAAAUUGUAAUUAGUAUCAUUUUAAGAUACUAUUCAACUUUAAGUAAAUUUGAAAAGUGAUAAUAAUUUUUUUUUUUUAGAAAAUGAAGAAAUUGAAUAACAGAUAUCCCCCUUUUACCUUUCACCAUUGAUAUUAUUCAUCUAGUACUGGCUUCUAAAUUGUUACCAAAGGGACAAAAAUCUCAACUUGGGGUGGAAAUUAUACAUGUCCAUCAGAUUCUGAAUACUUUUAGGUCAUUAUAUCUGUGGUGGCUACUCUUU